AAAAAUGGGGGGAAGGAAUUAAUAGUUAACGUCCUUUAAUUAAAAAACUUGUCUUAAGAAAUCAUGGCUAGUAAUUGUAUAUUAGUAUUACAGGUUUUUCAAUUCCCAAAAAAAAAAACUAUGGAAGAUUUCAUAUAUAAUGGCAUAUAUAUAAAGCCCUUGGAAAAACAAUUUUAUUUGUAAAGCUCAUUGUUUAUAAAUGGAAAAACAUUUUCUCAUGGAAAUAACCAUAUAAGUGAUGGUUAAGUGCCCGAGCCAAGAGGCAAAAUGUCUCCCAUUAAUUUACUAACAAUAAGCAUCAAUGGCUUCCUAUUGUAAUUAGCAUAAAAUCUAAACUCAUUAACAUGGACUAUAAAAUCUGCAUAAUCUAGUCAUUGCCUUAUCACUCUCCCCUUCAUUCAUUUAGCUCUAUCAACAUUGGCUUCUUUUUUUCACACCGAGAAAAAGCCCUGGUUCACUCCACACCACCCUUGGUUACACCCUGAUUCUAUGCUCUGAGUAGAAUGCCAUCCGCAGCUUGCACAUUUCGCAGCCGCCGUCUUGCUGCUGCUCCUUUUCAACGCCACUUCCACUCACCGCCACCAACACCAACAUGAACAGGAGCUCAGCAGCUUCCACUAGGCGUUCAUUGAGGAGGGCAUGUUCCUCUUCACCUCAGAGUCAGUGGGGGAAGGCCACCCAGAUAAGAUCUGUGACCAGAUCAGUGAUGCUGUCCUUGAUGCCCACCUUCAACAAAAUCCUGAUGCCAAAGUAGCUUGUGAAACUGCUGCUAAAACUGGAAUGAUCCUUCUUGCUGGGGAAAUUACAUCCAGAGCUGCUGCUGACUACCAGAAAAUGGUUCGUGAAACUAUUAAACACAUUGGAUAUGAUGAUUCUUCCAAAGGGUUUGACUACAAGACUUGUAAUGUGCUGGUAGCCUUGGAGCAACAGUCACCAGAUAUUUCUCAAAGUGUUCAUCUUGACAGAAAUGAAGAAGACAUUGGUGCUGGACACCAGGGCUUGACGUUUGGCUAUGCCACUAAUGAAACUGAGGAAUGUAUGUAUGCCUUUAACCAUUGUCUUGGCAUACAAGCUUAAAGCCAAACUGGCAGAACUAUGCCAUAAUGGCACUUUGCCUUGGUUAUGCCCUGAUUCUAAAACUCAAGUUACUGUGCAGGAUUGAGGUGCUAUGCUUCCCAUCAGAGUCCACACAAUUGUUAUAACUGUUCCGCAUGAUGAAGAGGUUUGUCUUGAUAAGAUGAGAGAUGCCCUAAAGGAGAAAGUCAUCAAAGCCAUUGUGCCUGCAAAAUACCUUGAUAAGGAUAUAAUCUACCACCUACAGCCAAGUGGCAGACUUGUUAUUGGUGGGGCUCUGGGUGACACUGGUUUGUACAACUGGACUGAAAACCAUUGUGGACACUUAUGGAGGUUGGGGUGUUCACAGAGGAGAUGUCUUUUCAUGAAAGGAUUUUAUACUAAGGUCAACCGUUCAGUUGCUUAUGCUGCUCAUUCAGUGGCAAAAUCCCUUGUAACAGGAGGUCUGUGCAGAAGGAUUCUUGUUCCGGUCUAUUACUCUAUUGGAGUUUCUCAUCCAUUAUCUAUCUCCGUUUUCCAUUAUGGUACCUCUCAGAAGAGUGAGAGAGAGCUACUAGAGAUUGUAAAGAAGAAUUUCAGUCUCCACCCUAGGGUCAUUGUCAGGGAUCUGGAUCUGAAGAAGCCAGAGGACUGCAGCCUAUGGUCACUUUGGUAGGGAUAGCUUCCCAUGGGAAGUGCCCAAAAAGCUUAAAUAUUGAAAGUGUUAGCCUUUUUCCCCCAUACUUGUUGGCGUAGGCAACAGAGAAGGCUUCGAGCUCUGAGGGAAAGGGCCCUCCUUCCUAAAUUUUCCUGUCCUGUUUCAGUGCCUGAUCAGUUGUAGUCACUAGUCAAUGACAUGAAUUUUAGCAUUUGUGGGUAAGUUGGGCUCGCUAUUCUGUCCCUAGGUGUUUUGUUCACCGAUAAUGAAUUUCAUGAGCAUAGGUGAUCCAUGUAACUGCCUAGAAACAACACUGUAGUAAAUAAUCUUAGGUGUUUUGUUGGGCUUGCUAUUCUGUCCCUAGGUGUUUUUUUUACCAUUGUAAUGAAUUUAGUGAGCACAGGUGAUCCAUGUAACUGCCUAGAAACAACACUGUAGUAAAUAAUGCUUUGAAAUUGAACAUUUGUGCCCUAUGACCCAAUGCUCCAAAGUCCUAAUUGCAUUGACUUUCCCACCAGAUGGUGAAAAUGUCCUUGUAAUGUGCACAUAAAGUACUUGUAGUUCCACUUAUAGCCUCUGUCUGGCAAUGCCACAGUCCUGUCAGCAUGAAUUUGUAAUGUCUUGAGCUCUAUUAUGAAUGUGAAGUCUUCCCCUUAUCCUCCCUGGAACUUGAUCCAUUUCUAAUUAUGAGCUCUUUGUCAGGGAGUGUUCUCUAUUUGGUCAAUCUUGCAUGUAAUGCAAGUUCCCAGUUGGAGCUCUAGCCUGACAUCAAAAAAAGGCAGUUACCAUUAAAUCAUCUCCCUGGUGCUUAUGCUCUUAAUUGCCACCUCUUUAACAGUACCAAAUCAAAAUCUCUCCACUUUCAGCUGUAUUUUGGAGGACAUACAUAGUAAGGUUUAAUUUAGUAAACCAAUCCUAUGCAUGGUUUCAGCACUAGCCAAACCUCACCAACUCCUAGCUCUAGAAAAACAGGCACUUGGCACCUUUAUGAUACCAUACAGGGAAGUCACAGGGCAGUCCCUGAGAGUCUGUAGGUUGCACACUUUGGUACCAGAUAACUUGUUUUUUCUUUAUAAGAAAGUCUGAGUACUCCACAUGCACGAUAACUCCUCCCAGGGUUUUAAUUUUGUUUUAUUUUCAAAACCAGGUCUAAUGAGUUUUCUGAACAGCUGAUGUAGCUACAGAGAAAUCAGCUUCCUUCAGAGAGCAGUGUUUUUGGCGGGGAGGAGGAAAUCCCUUCAUACUUGAACAUUUUCUAAUUGCUUAUUUAUUGUAUUCUAGGGUAUGGCAUAAGUACACAGAAGGCAUCACCUCAGAUGGCAGCUUUCAAAAUUCUUUUUUUCUCUCAAUACCAUGAUUACCAUGAUUCCUUUAACAACAUGUUUCUAGCAUUCCUAGGUAGGCCAAGGUGUCCUACAGAAAAACCUUGGGUUAGACCUACCGGGGGUCUGGCUGCGUGUUAACAAAGGGAGGGCAGAGCUGGUGCGGCUGGCCAUGGAGAAAACUGACUUGGCUGGUGUGAUAGAGAAGUCAGCUUGUUUACAUGCUUAUUCCAUGACUGCUUGCCCAAAGCAGAAAGUGCCUUUCAGGAUCUAUUUUUGGAGGUUUAUUACACAUGUCUGGUUCUCAAUUCCAACAGUUUAAUGAAGAUCUAAAUAAAAUGCUAGGUUCUACCUUAAAAAAAAAAAAAGAAGAAGAAAAA